rnacentral:tRNA from 1 species
GAGGGUAUAGCUCAAGUGGUAGAGCACAUGCUUAGCAUGCAUGAGGUCCUGGGUUCAAUCCCCAGUGCCUCCU